UUCUUGACUGAUCUGGAUCUUUUCUUCAAAUCUCUAAAAUCUUUUUAGAGGUUGAAUAUGGACUUCUAGAGGAGAUAAAUAGGUGAAAGAAAGAUGGAGAAGAAAAUAAUUUCUCUCUAAUUUAUUCUCUCUUUUCAAACCCUUAAGACCAAAAACCUAGAAUUCAGAUUUUUGCGCACACCCAAAGAAAAAGGACUCUCCUUCUCUUUUCACACCAUGAACUCAUGCCCAAG
rnacentral:lncRNA from 1 species